CAAUAGGACACAACAACGGAGAAAACCUAAAUUGAAAAAACUCUCACAGCUCACUCAGCCCCAUCCCUUCCUUUCUCCCACGCCUGAGACCGAACCCAACCUUGACACUUUUUUACCAGCGAGGGCAUCGGCUUGGGCAUUAGAGUUGAGUGAUAUUAGUGUGGAGAUCUGCGAGGGUCAUUAGCAUGGAGAUCUGUGGGUCAUCUGUGGGUCAUUUGCUUUGAUUCGUGGGAUCGCGCUCCGAUCUGUGCUCCGAUUCAUGGGAUCAUGGGUGUCGCCGUCGGUCUGGCCGUGCGUCGUGGUUGUGGUGCUUGUUUUGUCGUGGUGCUAAUUUGAUGAUGUCCCUCCCCACGUGUUCUGUCACGUCCUCGAUGUCAAGCUCCAUGCGGAGGAGGGGACUGAUGAAGUCUUUGCACAGGUUUCACCGGUUCCUGAAAGUGAGGUGGAGAGAAAUCUUUAGGAUGACUACUAGUGAAGAGACAGUUCAGGAGUUGAUGAACUUGAGAAGCGGUUGGUAGCUCUUAGAAAUCCAUGAGCUGAAGAUUGGAUAUUUGUGAGUUACUGAAUUUCUGCAAGGUAGUUUACUAUAGAUAUUCUAUCUCCAUAGGAUGCUACUCAUUUCAUCAUGUAUCUUGAGAUGCUAUUUCAUUGUUUUGUCUGCGUAUUUUGUGGAAUGCCAUGGACAGUGAUUCUCCAUCACAUUUGCAAAAAAUGUAAUUGUUGAACUUGUUUUGUUUUGUUUGCUAGUAAUUGGUUGGGAACUUGUUGGGUUUUGGCAAUUGUUGAGUGCUUAUAGAAUUGUAAAUUAUUUGGGCAGGAAUUGUAUUUAGUAGGGAAAAAAAAGAGGACCUAUUAGCCACGUUUUUAAAAAUGCGGCUAUGGAUAAACCAAUGCAGGGGGCUUUAGCCGCGUUUGAAACGCAGCCCAAACA